GAUGAAGAACGUAGCGAAAUGCGAUAAGUAAUGUGAAUUGCAGAAUUCAGUGAAUCAUCGAAUCUUUGAACGCACAUUGCGCCCGCUAGUAUUCUGGCGGGCAUGCCUGUCCGAGCGUCAUUUCAACCCUCAAGCCCCCGGGCUUGGUGUUGGGGAUCGGCGAGCCUCCGCGCCCGCCGUCCCCUAUAUCUAGUGGCGGUCUCGCUGUAGCUUCCUCUGCGUAGUAGCACACCUCGCACUGGGAAACAGCGCGGCCACGCCGUUAAACCCCCAACUUCUGAACGUUUGACCUCGGAUCAGGUAGGAAUACCCGCUGAACUUAAGCAUAUCAAUAAGCGGAGGA
rnacentral:misc_RNA from 1 species